CUCAAACUAGCACUGCCUAGCUUUGUCCAAAACCAAAACUCACUUCACAUUUAUCUGUAAGGUCCACUGCAGGUGAAAUUUGACAAGAAUAUGUGUCAUUCCUAGGUUUCCCAUGCUGUGUUGCAGAGACAAUGCUCACUUUGGGGUGAGUAUCCGUUACAGAUGGCCAUGCCUUUUCAUCAUCAUCAGGAUGUAGCGAUAAAGUGGCCCUUCUCAGGCACACUGCCAGGGCAAGUUUUCUUAUCUCUUCCAUGAAUUCAGCAUCAUUCAACCCAUGAGAAGGAAACCUACAGUUCUCCUCGUAAUGGAGCAGUCUUCACAGCACUGUUCGUGUGACCCUCCUAUGACAGUCAUGGCAGGAAAGGAAAGCAGAAAGCUUCUGCAGUACUCAGCUGGGUCAAGGUAGAACUUCAAAGACCAAGCAGAAAGCUUCUGCAGUACUCAGCUGGGUCAAGGUAGAACUUCAAAGACCAAGCAGAAAGCUUCUGCAGUACUCAGCUGGGUCAAGGUAGAACUUCAAAGACCAAGCAGAAAGCUUCUGCAGUACUCAGCUGGGUCAAAGACCAGCUGCACUGGAGAAGAUGGCCCUGUUCACCCUGUGGAACAGCCUGGAGGUCAUGGCUACAAACCUACCUUCUCGUAGCAGAGACAUGACACUAGGUCAGACGGCUAGUUCUGCGAGAAAUAAAAAUGACAGUUGGACAUUUGGUAUCCUAUAGAACGAGUAUCUGUUUACUGAAUUUUUACGCUAUCAUCUGGUGGUUUUGGCAUUACUGGGAUGCAAUUUUAGUUUUUUUGUGUGCAGAGAAUAGCCACUUGUUUGGGUUUCUGAGGUCAUUUCUCACAUUUCUGCUCCAGAAAUGAGUGCAUUCCAUAAAUAUAUUUUUACUGCAAAGUCUAAUUUGCUUGCUUUCUUAAUGUGAGCCCAUCUCCUUUCUAAAAUCCUGGUUUUCUCAAAAAUGCUAGUUAGUUGCUGUCUUCUUACUAAUGUUGACAACAUCUUAUCAUCAAAUACUUACUUUGUAUUCUGUCCAGCCCUGUCCCUGGCAUAUAAUAAAUAUUUUAGAGGCUCUUUCUACUGCAGUUUCUUCCAAAAUUCCAUUUAUUUGAGGUUGAUGAGCUUCCUUUUUCUUUUUGUUUUUUGGUUUGUUUGUUUUUUGUAGAGACAUGGUCUCGCUUUGUCACCCAGGCUGGAGUGCAGUGGUGUGAUCAUAGCUCACUGUAGCCUCAAACUCCUGGGCACAAGCGACCCUCCAGCCUCAGCCUCCCAAGUAGCUGGGACUACAGGUCCACUGCCACACCCAGAUAAUCUUUAAAAUUUUUUUAGAGAUGGAGUCUUGUUAUGUUGCCCAGGCUAGUCUUGAA
rnacentral:lncRNA from 10 species